rnacentral:rRNA from 1 species
CAAGUCGAACGAUGAUCCCAGCUUGCUGGGGGAUUAGUGGCGAACGGGUGAGUAACACGUGAGUAACCUGCCCUUGACUCUGGGAUAAGCCUGGGAAACUGGGUCUAAUACCGGAUAUGACUCCUCAUCGCAUGGUGGGGGGUGGAAAGCUUUUGUGGUUUUGGAUGGACUCGCGGCCUAUCAGCUUGUUGGUGGGGUAAUGGCCUACCAAGGCGACGACGGGUAGCCGGCCUGAGAGGGUGACCGGCCACACUGGGACUGAGACACGGCCCAGACUCCUACGGGAGGCAGCAGUGGGGAAUAUUGCACAAUGGGCGAAAGCCUGAUGCAGCGACGCCGCGUGAGGGAUGACGGCCUUCGGGUUGUAAACCUCUUUCAGUAGGGAAGAAGCCGUAAGGUGACGGUACCUGCAGAAGAAGCGCCGGCUAACUACGUGCCAGCAGCCGCGGUAAUACGUAGGGCGCAAGCGUUAUCCGGAAUUAUUGGGCGUAAAGAGCUCGUAGGCGGUUUGUCGCGUCUGCUGUGAAAGACCGGGGCUCAACUCCGGUUCUGCAGUGGGUACGGGCAGACUAGAGUGCAGUAGGGGAGACUGGAAUUCCUGGUGUAGCGGUGAAAUGCGCAGAUAUCAGGAGGAACACCGAUGGCGAAGGCAGGUCUCUGGGCUGUAACUGACGCUGAGGAGCGAAAGCAUKGGGAGSGRACAGGAUUAGAUACCCUGGUAGUCCAUGC